rnacentral:rRNA from 1 species
UACGGAGGGUGCAAGCGUUAUCCGGAUUCACUGGGUUUAAAGGGUGCGUAGGUGGGCAAGUAAGUCAGUGGUGAAAUCUCCGGGCUUAACCCGGAAACUGCCAUUGAUACUAUUUGUCUUGAAUACUGUGGAGGUCAGCGGAAUAUGUCAUGUAGCGGUGAAAUGCUUAGACAUGACAUAGAACACCAAUUGCGAAGGCAGCUGGCUACACAAAUAUUGACACUGAGGCACGAAAGCGUGGGGAUCAAACAGGA